rnacentral:lncRNA from 10 species
CUUUUUUAAAAAGCCACAAUACCCUUAUCACAUAUAAAAUGUGUGCCAUUAUCACUCUUCCUAUCAUGAACUCUCCAGUCAGUGCUCACAUUUCCCAGUGUCUCAUGAAUGUCAUCAUUUCUCUUUUUUCAACUUGUUUGUUUGAAUCAGGAUACAAAUAAGGUCACUGUGUUCCAAUUGGUUUAUGUGUCUUUAAGUUACUUUGUUUGAAAGUCAUUUGGAAUAGUUUUUCUCUUUGUGGUAUUAAAGUAAAUUAAAAUGAAGACCAGGCCUAAAGAAUCCCUGAGCAAACAAAACCAGUUAGGCUCAGAAGUAGCCAACAAACUUAUAAUUAUAUAAUGAGGGACUUUCCUAUGGGAUAGAUUAAAUAAGGCAACUGUAUAACUGUAACCAAUCAAAUAUUUUCUUUGCUUUACUUCUGUGUUCCUUGUAUAAAAACCCAUCCCUUGUGUUCCCUCACUUCUGGUUUGGAACUGCCCAAUUCAUGAAUUGUUGUUUGCUCCUAUAAAUUCUUUAAAAUUUUAUUGUGCCUCAGUUUACUUUUUUCUUAUUUUUAGAGACAGGGUCCAGAUCUGUUACCCAGGCUGAAGUGCAGUAGCAUGAUCUUAGCUCACUGCAGCCUCAAAUUCCUCAAUCCUCCUGCAUCAGCCUCCUGAGAAGCCAGGACUACAGGUGCACAGCAGCACACCUGGCUAAUAUAUAUAUUAGAAACAGGGUCUUGCUAUGUUCCCCAGGCUGGGCUAGAGCUCCCAGCCUCAAGUGAUCCUCCUGCCUCAGCCUCCUAAAGUGCUGGCAGAGGUGAGCCACUGGGCCUGGCCUCAGUUUAAUUUGAAUGGUGGUUAAAUAAUUAAUUCAAUGUGUAGAUUUAUUUGCUUUAUUUUACUUUAGGUUUUUAGAAUUUUUAAAGCUUUUUAUUUAGAAAUUUAUUUAAAGAUUUUAAAUUUUAUUUCUGGUUCCAAAAUCUAUCAUACAAAUAUAUCCAGAAAGGUCUAGCUUUUAUGCCCCUUUCAAUCCUUUCCCUUCCCCAUAACUAUUAAUUUUUAAACAUUAUUCUUUAUUAUUACAUUAAUUUAAUAUGUAUCACAUACAUAAUGCAUAUGUAUUCGUAUCCCUCCCUCCUUUUUUUUUUUUUUUGUUUGAGAUGAGGAUCUCACUAUGUUGCCCAGGCUGGACUUGAAAUCCUAAAUUCAAGCAAUCCUCCUGCCUCAACCUCGAGUAGCUGGGACUACAGGUAUACGCCUCCACGUUUGGCUCUUCCUUCCUUUUAGAAUGGCAGGUGCUGUGCUGAAUGCCUGGGAAGAUGGCCCCAAUGUUCCUCCCCAAGGGAUUGCCAGUCACAUCAGCACAGCACGGGAUGGAUCCUGCUGUGCCAACACUCUCUGCAGGCUUGUGGGGACCCUGGCUGAGAUGUCUGGACACCUGGAUUUCAAUCCGGUCUUUGCCAUCCACUCCCUGUGUGGCCCUCCCCCGCAAACUAAAUAAAAAUUUCAUGAGUUGGGGAAGGAGACUCAAGGGGAAGUGAGACGAGAGGACGGAAGUGAGUUGAAGAGCAGGGAGGAGCCUGGAGCCUGGAGCCUGGGCCUCCCUGUGCUGUGAUGUGUGCCAGAGUGGAAGCGGAAGUGGAAGCAGAAGCAGAAGUGGUCCUGCCGGUAGGUGUGACUGGCCUCACAGAGCUGCCAGGAUGCACCUGAGUGCUCAAGAGGGUUUCCCACAGCCCCAGGUGGAUUGGACUCAGAAGCAUGUUUCUGAUGUGCUCAAGAGUGUGGCCCAGACAAGGCACAGAGGACAGGAGUGUCAGAGGCAUUCAAACAAGAGCGACUCCAUCCUGAACGGGGGCUGGGUAAAAUGACGCUGAGGCCUGCCAGGUUGCAUUCCCAGGAGGUUAGGCAUUCUUAAGUCACUGGAUGAGAUAGGAGAGGGGCACAAGAUACUGGUUACAAAGACCCUGCUGAUAAAACAGGUUGCAGUAAAGAAGCUCGCCCAAACCAAAAUGGCAAUGAAAGUAACCUCUGGUCAUCCUCACUGCUCAUUACACGCUAAUUAUAAUGCAUUAGGAUGCUGAAAGACACUCCCACCAGCCCCAUGACAGUUUACAAACGCCAUAGCAACAUCUGGAAGUUACUCUAUAUGACUUAAAAGGAAAAGGAACUCUCAGUUCUGGGAAAUUCCCACCCCUUUCCUGGAAAAUUCAUGAAUAAACCACUCCUUGUUUAGCAUAUGAUCAAGAAAUAACCAUAAAAGUAGCCAACCAGCAGCCCUUCGUGCUGCUCUGCCUGUAGAGUAGCCGUUGUUUUAUUCCUUUACUUUCUUCAUAAACUUGCUUCUGCUUUACUCUGUUGACUCGCUGAUUUUUCUUUCUUGAGACAGAGUCUGGCUCUAUCGCCCGGGCUGGAGUGCAGUGGCGCAAUCUCUGCUUAUUGCAA